rnacentral:rRNA from 1 species
AACCAGCACCUCAAGUGGUCAGGAGGAUUAUUGGGCCUAAAGCAUCCGCAGCCUGUUCUAUAAGUUCGCGGUUAAAUCUAUACGCUCAACGUAUAGGCUGCCGUAAAUACUGUAGAACUAGGGAGUGGGAGAGGUAGACGGUACUCGAUAGGAAGGGGUAAAAUCCUUUGAUCUAUUGAUGACCACCUGUGGCGAAGGCGGUCUACCAGAACACGUUCGACGGUGAGGGAUGAAAGCUGGGGGAGCAACCGG